CAUUAACCUUGUUUACUUUUAACAAAUAAUCCCCUGAAAAAGAUGCCCCUUCUAAAUGAAAUGAUGGCAAGAUUAAAUGAGUACUAUUACAUUUAUUUUUUUAUACACUGACUUCUUUCAAAAAUAAUUUGAAGUGGCAUUAUACAAAAGUAAAAAUAUUUCUAUACUCAAAAGUUUGGCUGUUCCUUUGUUCUUUUAAUUAAUCGAAUUUCAUUUAGCGCCACAACCUCUAACAGGCUAAAACUUUCAGAGUAUACUUCAAUUACUAGUCUCUAUGCUACAAGUUACACAUUUUCAAGGGUUAGGUAGGCCUUAAAAUUUGAUUAGACUACUUGAUUCAAAAGUCAUCAUACAACCCUCCCAAACAGCCCCCAUUUUUGGGAAGGGGGGUGUUGGUGGUACUGUGGUUUGAACUCAGAGCUUUGCACUUGCUAGGCAGGAACUCUACCACUUGAGCCACAUCCUCACUCCAAACAGAAUUUUUUUUUUUUUUAAGUUACAGUGUCUAACUCUGAGAUACAUGAGUAUAGGGCCAUGGAACGGCAGGCGGAGAAUUGAGUAAUACAACCAACAAGUCAAGGAACAUGAAGAUUACCAAGAAUCUGAGAAGAGAGAGGCACGGGCAAGGAGAGUGCCUAAGCUGGCCCAGUAUCACUUGGGAGCUCAGACUUCUAGACUAUAGAA